GGCGGCAUGGCCAAGCGGUAAGGCAG
rnacentral:tRNA from 1 species